ensembl:lncRNA novel transcript
GUGGCCUUCUUGUCCCAACCUCAGGCCUCCACAUGUGACUUCUGCACCUCAUCUCUGGGAUGGUUUCAGUGGGUCCUAGAUUGCUUUCUGUGCUCCCUGGGACAGUUGGUGGCACUCUGUGAGACUACUCUGAGGUACCCUUACAAGCUACUCUUAAUUUUCCCCGCUGUUCUGCUUGUUGGACAUGGCAUCAUGCUGCAAUGUUAACAGUCUUUCAAAGCUAAGCGCGGAGGAUGUGAUUCCAUCCCUGGCAGUUCUUAGAUUCCCUACCAGUCCUUUCCAUCAUGGGCUCCUGUGGAAAAUGACCCCAGCUCAGCUCAGUAGUUGAUGGGACAUCUGAUUCAGGUUGGACCCAGCCCAGACAUCUGAUUCAAACAAUAUUCUUCUCCAGGAAUUUUGUAACCAGCACUGGUAAAGGGAGGGAAGUGCUCCCCAGUGGGGAGAGCUGCAGAAUGUGAGACUUGGAAACCAAAGGCCGCCAUGUUUUCUGUCUCAUGAUGGAAUCCAAUCUUCUUUGGCGGGGAAAAUAAAUGAAGCCAACACCAGUAGGACAACAUAUAUCAAGCAGGGGCCAUUGCUCCAGCCUGACUCCAGGAAUCAGCAGACAGCGCAGCCUCAUUCUCCACCUGCUCCCUGCAGUACAGCCUCAGAACCACACAGUUGCAGCCAACCAGCUCCUGACAUGGAACUUGAGCAACAAAUGCCCUUUGUUUUUGCAAGUCCCUGAGAUUUGGAAGUUGUUACACAGCAUUCUCUCAGCCAGAAGUGACUGACAUGGUAUCAUUGCAGUCUUGAUCAAUUUGCCCUAUGCAAAGUGUUUUUAUAUGCCAUGAAUUUCUGAAGAUAGAACUACUGUUAUUCCCCAUGCAGCAGCUGAGGAAACUGAGUCUUAGAAUGUAUAAACAACUUUCCCAAGGCUACUGAAAGUGAUGGGAAUCAAAUAUAUCUUUGCCUAACUCCAGAUCCCAUGCUUUUGAAGAUAUUUAUACUGCCUAAAGCUGUAACAGACUUUUCUAAUAGUCAUACAUGGCAUAUUUAGUUGCUCUCCAUGGGGAAAUAAUGACCUGACAUGGAAAAUAUUGGUGUACUUUAUUAUGAGAUUCUAAUAAGCAACCAUUAUACAUGUAUAUAAUAUAUACAUGCAACCUCUUAAGCUUAUGCCAUUCUGUAUGGAUGUUACUAGCUUGAAGAAAUUCUAAAGAGUAGGGAUAUUAAAAAUACUGAGCCAAUAAAGUAGGAUAAUUUUUUUAUUGUAGUCAAUUUUCAUUUAUAAUAUUAAAUUCUUGCACUCCCUUUCAAA